AAUAGCAAUAUCAAUCUUGGGAGCGUCUCCUCCUUCUCUGUUAAAUUCUUGUUGCACAUUCUACACAUGUACUAAAGCCCGUGCCACUGUUCAAUGUUCAUAAUGGCAUGAAAAGACGGCUCUGCCCUUCUUUUUUCCAUGAAUUACGGGCUGCCACUGUCAAUCUGGAUUCCGCUGCUGGAAUAGAGAGGAAGAGAAGAGGAUUUGGUUUCGAUAAUACCCAAUUCGUGGUUUUAAUCUUUGCCCAUUCGUGGGUGGGUAUAUAAGCAUAAGCAUCAGGUCUCGAAGCAGUGUCUACACCGACAUCAACUCUUCCAGAUUAUCAACUCUUCCAGAUUAUCAACUCAGCCACCAAGAUCAACAGCGCUGCAAGCUUGCUAGGGCUAAGCUUUUUCUUUUGUUGGAUGUUAUUGAUGACUAUAGUUGUUUUUAGUUUUUCAUUAUCCAAAAGAUUAAAGCUUUUUGUUUUUUGAAUUACACUUGCCUAAGAGCUGUGGCUUUUGAUAUUCUGAAACAACAAUAGCCUGUAGUAUGGACAUGUGCCUGGUCUGUCAAUUUGUUAGUCUAGGCAAGCAAUGCAUUACUACAGUUGGUGAUUUUUUUUCUUUUUUUUUUUUGACAGGAUAGAGCAAAGUCGCUUAAGUUACCAAACCAUGUUGGAAUUGAUUGUAGGAACACUCAGAUUACACGAAAAUGCUUUGUGGGAGAUUGGGCAUACUGAUCCUAUACUGGUUUGAGAAAGCUAAUUAACCAUCAAAAGUGGAGGCAGUCAUAUAUCUUUCUUGCAUCUUUGGUUCUCGGAUUUGCCUGUGUAAUUCAUCAAAUGCAAGAGGCCUCCAAGUACUAGGCCCUUCACUGUCAUCAAAAACAGGAAGUCUUUGUUUGAACAUUUAGAAGCACAUUACUAAUACAAAAUGCACAGUAUUAGUGUGUCACCUAUGAAGCCAGAUUCCUCUGCUUCAACAAUUCUGUAGACAUGAGCUGGUAAGAAGGAAAUUAAUUGUCAUUUGAUAAAGAGUGAAAGCAUUUCUUGCUUGAGCAUUUAAUUGAAGAAAGGAACCAAGUAUAUUCUUUAGAAAACAAGUUUAUCUCCAAAUUCAAGUAGGCAUAGAGAGAUAUAACACACAUUUUCAGAAAUGCUUUGUGGGAGAUUGGGCAUGCUGGUGCUAUGUGGUUUUGAGAAAGCUAACUAACCAUCAAAAGAGGAGGCAAUCAUUUCUUUCUUGCGUCUUUGGUUCUCGGAUUUGCCUGUGUAACUCAUCAAGUGCAAGAGGCCUCCAAGUACAAGGCCCUUCACUGUCAUGAAAAACAGGAAGUCUUUGUUUGAAGAUUUAGAAGCACAUUGCUAAUACAAGUGUUAAGAAGCUUCACAUCUCAGGCAUUGACAACUUCCAGAUUGCACAGUAUUAGUUGUGUCACCUAUGAAGCCAAAUUCCUCUGCUUCCACAAUUCUGUAAGUUCCAUGCUUCGGUCAACAACAUGAGUUAUUUAAUGAUUAAAUAAAUUGGGGUAUUGGUAAACUGACAGAAUUGGGUAUACCCAGUUAGUGUGAUUAGGCGAAUAUGGAUUUUUUGCAUCCAUGUACUGCUAAUAGAGUAACUGAGCUUCCCUGGUUUAAAGAUGAAGUUCUUAUCAACUUCAUUCAUGGUCUUUUGGAUGUAAAGGAAGUGAAUGGAAAAGAAAUUCAAAUUUCUUUUGGUACUGUAUACUGUAAACAAUGAGGAAUUAAAUAAGCAAUACCUGAUCCAACAAUAUCAUGAAACUCAUAAACUUAAAUAAAAAUACCAGUACAUAAAAAAAGGACUGAUGAUAAAGACUUCAGAGUUCAGACCAAAAGAGAAAAAAAGGAUAAGGUCUGAAACUUUGAUGGAUGAAAUAGAUGGAAGCGCAUUACUCUGAGCAAUGCUAAGAUAAGCAAGGAGGCUGGAGGAGAGUUUAAUAUUUUUGAUGGGUCGGUGAUGGGUUAGAAUUUGGAGUUGCAUUGUACAGAAUUGGAGAUUUGGAAGUUGGCUAGAUGGGAUUCAGUCAACAGUAUAGUUAUAUUGUUGUGUUGUUGGUUGGUAUUGUGAUUUGUGGAUUGAGUUUGGUUUGUUUGGUUUCGCGGGUGCUUACUCUUCAGGAGCCUGAACGUGGUCUUCGCAUCGUCAAGCUAACCCAUGUGGAUGUUCUGAAGAAGACAGUGCCUCUAAUAUUUCAGUGGCAGUCCAUCACAUCCAACAGCAAAUGAAGCUUCCACUAACACAAAAGAGAACUUCCAAGUAGAUGAACUAAUGGAUGACACGUACUGAUGAAGAUCUCAUGUAAUGAUUGGUUCGAACUUCGAAUGUAGAACAUUUUGCUAAGCACUAACCAUAUUUGUCAGUUGUAUAUAAACAUCUUGGGUGCCACAUUUUUCUUUUGGUCAAUGGAAUAGCCAAUUUUUGAAAACUGUAAAAUGUGAAUGAUAAAUUUGGUUAAAACA